ACGAACGCUGGCGGCGUGCUUAACACAUGCAAGUCGAACGGAAAGGCCCUGCUUUUGUGGGGUGCUCGAGUGGCGAACGGGUGAGUAACACGUGAGUAACCUGCCCUUGACUUUGGGAUAACUUCAGGAAACUGGGGCUAAUACCGGAUAGGAGCUCCUGCUGCAUGGUGGGGGUUGGAAAGUUUCGGCGGUUGGGGAUGGACUCGCGGCUUAUCAGCUUGUUGGUGGGGUAGUGGCUUACCAAGGCUUUGACGGGUAGCCGGCCUGAGAGGGUGACCGGCCACAUUGGGACUGAGAUACGGCCCAGACUCCUACGGGAGGCAGCAGUGGGGAAUAUUGCACAAUGGGCGGAAGCCUGAUGCAGCAACGCCGCGUGCGGGAUGACGGCCUUCGGGUUGGAAACCGCUUUCGCCUGUGACGAAGCGUGAGUGACGGUAAUGGGUAAAGAAGCACCGGCUAACUACGUG
rnacentral:rRNA from 1 species